rnacentral:rRNA from 1 species
UACGUAGGGUGCAAGCGUUAAUCGGAAUUACUGGGCGUAAAGCGUGCGCAGGCGGUUUUGUAAGUCUGUCGUGAAAUCCCCCGGGCUCAACCUGGGAAUUGCGAUGGAGACUGCAAGGCUGGAGUCUGGCAGAGGGGGGGUAGAAUUCCACGUGUAGCAGUGAAAUGCGUAGAGAUGUGGAGGAACACCGAUGGCGAAGGCAGCCCCCCUGGGUCAAGACUGACGCUCAUGCACGAAAGCGUGGGGAGCAAACAGG